GGUGAGUCCGUGAGUAUGGAAAUAACCAGCGCGGAGAGGGAGGAUAUUUUAUUGUCUGAGCUGAGUUUAUCGUAUUUGGGUAUGAAACUCGGGAGGGGGGCGUAUAUUUAAGUGGUUUAAAGAGUCUUCAGCACUCGUUUGAAAGGCAGAAGGACCAGAGGACAAGACCUAAACAGUAAGUGCUGCCUGAAAAACGAGUGAAAUCGUGCUCACGCUAAUGUCAGUGGCAAACCCUCCACCAUUCCUUGGCAGGGGUUUCCAACUUCACGUUGUCAAAUGAUGUGGAACCUGUCAGACAGAAAACAAUUGCAUUUCCUAGCCUGUAUUUUUCGUACGUUUAUGCCACAAAUAACGAGAAAAGGCAGCACGCAGCAGCGUGAACCACGGGGAGACCUCUUUGUUGCAUGGUUUUGUGUUUCUGUUCGAGCUGACAGGAUUGAGGGAGAAAAUAAAUGCAAACCCCGCAUUGCACAAAGCUUACCCGAAUAUCCCAUGGAACACGUUUUCAAAUCUGGACAAAAUAGAAAAGUUAUUGCUUUGCAGGUUUUCCAGCUUUAGUCAACCAACCUUUCAUGCCUUCAGACCACGGAGGGGGAAAGCGGGACAUCCAAGACUGUUCUGCUGUGAUUUCCUACUGAUUCAUCCAGAGAGCACCAACCCAGACCCAUGGGCAGACAGAGGCUGCCCCAGGAGGUAUUUCCUCAGCCCUUUGGAAGACACCUGCUCUAGAAGAAAGCUGAUUUACCAAGAUAUUGUCUUGGCAGCCAGCACAGGGCUUGGUGCACGGGUCUCCCAGAGAGCGACUUCUCCUCACGAGCAGCAGCUCCCUAGGAAUGUAUCAGAGCCUCUGCAGGCGUCAACAGACAUGGCUCAGCGGAGGAGAUCGACUCAGCUGUAUCUUGGCACAGUGACUACCUCACCAGGGAUCACAUCUAUCUUUCAGGUAGAUGAACAAUCUGUUCUGUGUAAUACACUUCCAUUUGUCGGCAGUGCAAACGUAAAAAGUGUUAAAAUAGUUACCUACCCAUGCCAAACAUAAUUGUAAAUGUCUGUAUUAAAGACACUAAAUCUAACCAUUUUUCUCUAAUUUCUUCCAUAAGGUAGUAAAAUAAACCAGUAUGAAAUGUUAAAAGGAAACUUUUCAGCUUAGUGAUAUUUAAAAUGUAUUUUUAGUUCCCAUUGCUUACUAUGAAGUUGUUACAAAAUGAAAAACAGUUUAAUCUAAUUUGCACACAACAUUAAUUCCUAAGAGCAGUUUGAGACUAGUUCUAGCUUAGGCACUGAACAGCGACUUUAGUAUCACAGAUGAGUGCUAAACAGUCCUUUUUUUUCAUUUCAGGCCUUCUGUACAUAUGGAGGGGGACUUUUUACAUGUAGGGAGAAGACAUGGGGCAAUGGCUUUAAACUGAUAGAGGAGAGCUUGAGAUGAGAUCUUUGAAAGAAGUUCUUCCCUGUGAGGGUGAUGAGACACUGGAACAGGUUGUGGACCGGGCUUGGAGCAACCUGCUCUAGUGGAAGGUGUCCCUGCCCAUGGCAGGGGGUUGGAACUGGAUGAGCUUUAAGGUCCCUUCCAACCCAAGCCAUUCU
ensembl:lncRNA